UGUCUCUAACUUGAUGAGUAUGACUCACAUAUGGAUAAAAAUAGAGGAAACAUUGAGUGAGAGUCGAGAUGACAGACAGUGUGGUCCGAGAGUUGCAGAGGACUUAGGAGCUUGAUGUUCCAAUGAUACAAUUAUUUUCAAGAGUAGGGAUUUUCAUACCUUGAAUCGUUUGGGGUACUUUCCCAAAGAAUAAGUUAAAACCAUGAUUUUAUAAUGAAAAGACUGAUAUUAAAGCUUACAGAGCCGUGCCAAUCAUCUAAAGCAAACUUGGAGUAAAAAUGAUGAGAAUUCUGGACCUGCUUCAGUAUUUUGGGUAUAACUUUUCACUUGAAACUCCAAAUUGAGCAAACUUUGGCGCUUUAGAAAGAAGACUCGAAGCCCGAUGUUUUUGUCUCUAAUAGCCAGCUCCAAAUUCGCACUCUAAAUGGGUCAAAAUUGCUUAGGCUCGAGGGUUUUGAAGAAAAAGAUCCAAAAGGAGUUUUGGCGGUCUAUGGCGAUGAAGACCACAACAACACAGAUGAUAUCUUGCGCCGUCAUGAGUAGCUAAUUCCUCUCUUAGGGCAUUGAUGUAGCUUGAAUUCGAAAACUAUGGUUUGAUUGUUCUGUACUUUGGGAAUUUAAUAUAUUAUGUAUUUUGAUUACAUGAA